AAAAUCUAAUGGUUCCUUGUGUACAAGUAGUCAGCACACCGGUUGAUAUGGUCAUAUCAGUCAGUGCCUGAACUUAUGCUCUAACCAAUACGCAGGCCUUUGCCGUCUCUCGUCUCGAGCUUCUCGCUCACAACCAAUCACGUUCUUCUGGAGGUCACUAGUUCUUAAUUGAUUUCAGCUGCGUCUCCCCCGCCUCUCCUCAUAAAGCGCCCCCACCGUGACGGAUUUUAAUCGUUUAUUUUGUGUUGGAUUGCGUGGGCUGAACAAUCCGGACAUCGUGGCCACCGACGUUGACCCCCCGCCACCGGGACCCACGCACACCGACCACCACACUGGGAAGUGUCCUCUGCUCACUGUGGAAGCAGCAUGGAAGAACUGCAGCAACUCUGAUGGAAACGAGGACCUCCACGCUGUUGAACACAAACUGUUCUAGGCCUACUACAAACCGAGGCGGUCCCACUCGGUUAAAGAUCUCGUGGUCAAUGCGGCAGACCGCUGGACCUGGACGUCACCUUCUGCAGAUACUUCACUGCCCUCAAGAAUCCACGGAUAACUUGAAACAUGUCCGACUCCACAUGUCCGAAAAAAAUCCAGGAUGGAAACUUGUGGAAGGAAGGAAGGGUUCUGUUUUUGCUCAACCCAUAACCCCACUGAGCCCUUCUGUGGAAACCUGUCUGACUGACCCUACUGACUGGGGGCCUGUUGUGUAUUUGGUUGGUCUGGUAGAAGGUUUGCUGCUUGUGAUCUGCAAGGUGGUCCUGGGUUAGAUGCGGUGUCUGACUUGCACACCACUCUCCCAAUUCUAUUUUUCUCUUUACUACUUUUCUACUUUCAAUACUUGCUGCUGUUGACCGCUGGUGGUGCAAUGUGGUUUUUAUUCGCGUAUGUUCUGUGGACUUUGCAUUUGUAUUUUAAUGAACAUGUUUACUGCCUGUUAGACCUCGGAUUGGCAAACCUAAACUCCUUCACUGGCAAAAUGUAGAUGCAAAUUAAAUGCCGAAAUUAAAAUUUCAAUAUUCGUUUUGCGUAUUUCACCAAUGGCUUCGGAACUAGACGGACCUCGUAUAUAAUUUGCUCUUCAAAGAUGCGGUCAGGCGCCCCUCCGUUAUAUAACGUUUUCUGCCCGGUACGAAAUAGACCAACCAAUAGCAACCCUUUAGGCUAUCUAAUGUGAUGUUGGAUAUAUGCAACAUGUAGAGGUGUUUCAACAACAAAGAUGGAAGUUGGGGAACUAAAGACUGUAUAUGCUCACUAAAAGAACGUCUACUAAAAGAUUUUGAGGAAUAUGCAUUUCUGCAUCACCCGUUCCAAUGCUAUGAUUAGUCGAGGCCUAUCCAAUAGCUUAGCAUCGACCCAUUUUAGAUCGCGCCCUUUAGACACGCCCCUUGGAAAUUGAACCGCACUUCAACGCAGAGGAUCCAGAAGGAUUUCACAACGAGUCCAUUGGAAGAUAUCGAGGAACAUGAACAUCAUCACCAAUGAAGGAGAGUAACGUUUCCACUUGCUAUAGGAAUUUAGUGAAGCACUAAAUAGUUAAUAAUAAUAAUGAUAAAAUGUGGUCACCAUUUAUUGACUUUUUGGGUAAGACUUGCUUUACUAAUAUAACCGCUUUAAAACCGCAUUCAUUUACUUUUCUUGUGUAGUUUCCCACUAUUCAUUAAAUGUUUUAUAGAAGUAAAAAAGUAAUCAAUAGAACUAUACACAUUUGUACAACAAUUAAUCAUUAUAGAGGAUUUGAACAUUUUCUAUUCGAGCUCAUGCUUCAUAAUAUUUCCAAGGAUUGCAGAGUACCAAAUGAUUUAUGAACAGUUGUCUUUGUUCAGGAGCGGAUUGUACUCCCAGAGGCUUCAACAGAGCGGGUCUUGAGCUGGGAGCUGCAGGUGGAUGGUGGCCAGGAGCCUUUCAGUCCUACAGGAACAGACGGUAGAGGUGAUGGAGGCGGUCGUCUGGAGGUGCUCGCCAUGAGGUCCGUGGCGGUCGUCUGGAGGUCCGUGGCGGUCGUCUGGAGGUCGUCUGGAGGUCCGUGGCGGUCGUCUGGAGGUCCGUGGCGGUCGUCUGGAGGUCCGUGGCGGUCGUCUGGAGGUCCGUGGCGGUCGUCUGGAGGUCCGUGGCGGUCGUCUGGAGGUCCGUGGCGGUCGUCUGGAGGUCCGUGGCGGUCGUCUGGAGGCGCCUGCUGCAGGUGGAGGGAAGGCCGGAGCCGUGCAGCCCAACGGAUGCAGAACGAAGGACUGAGGCGGAGGUCCUGGAGGCGGAGGUCCUGGAGGCGGAGGUCCUGGAGGAGGCGGAGGUCCUGGAGGCGGAGGUCCUGGAGGCGGCGGUGGCCUGGAGGUCCUGGAAGCGUCCAACCUGGAAGGGGCGGCAUGGUGGGCCAGGUGGCGGCUCCUCAUCCAAAGGGCCUGGAGGCAGCCAACCUGGAAGGCCUGGAGACGGCGGCGGGCCUGGAGGUGGACGCCAACCUGGAGGUCCUGGAGUCGGUGGGCCUGGAGGCGGUGGUUGGGACCAACCUGGAGGGCCUGGAGGCGGUGGUUGGGACCAACCUGGAGGUCCUGGCGGUGGCGUCCACCUGGCGGCGGUCAGCCUGGAGGGCCCGGCGGCGGCGACCGUCCUGGAGGGCCCGGCGGCGG
ensembl:lncRNA